GACGUAGGGCGCGAGCGUUGUCCGGAUUAUUGGGCGUAAAGAGCUCGUAGGCGGCUUGUCGCGUCGUCCGUGAAAACCUGCAGUUCAACUGCAGGCUUGCGGUCGAUACGGGCAGGCUAGAGUUCGGUAGGGGAGACUGGAAUUCCUGGUGUAGCGGUGAAAUGCGCAGAUAUCAGGAGGAACACCGGUGGCGAAGGCGGGUCUCUGGGCCGAUACUGACGCUGAGGAGCGAAAGCGUGGGGAGCGAACAGG
rnacentral:rRNA from 1 species